rnacentral:lncRNA from 1 species
GCCGUUUACAAUUCAAAACUAACACAGAAAAACUAACACAGAACCUUAUUACAAUUCAAAACAAAAUAAACAAAACAAUUCAAGUGUUGCUGCCACGGUUGUCCCAAUUUCCUUGUGUUGGACAGCUUCUGGACACUUUGGAGUCGUCUAGCUUUUGAGAUUCAACUUUCCUUUUUUUUAGUUUCUAUUGCAGCGGAACAUAAGCAAGACUCUUCACGGUUCAGUGACUUUGCUGUCAAAUGCAAAUACUGCAGAAUGAGCUUGAUUGAAAGAGCUGCUUGCUUCUAUUCACGGUGCUGGGCUACGCUGCAUAAGCACAGAACAAAAUCUGGAUUCCAGCAACAAGUGAUUCAACAGACAGGCCAAGGUCUAAAGCUGCACAGGAUUAGUUCAAUUUAGAAGAAACAAAAUAUUCAUAUUAGCAGCUUGCUCUUUUGGUUAUCUUGGAUGCAUUCCAACUUGGUCAGCUUCACUGUGCUGCACAAAGGAACAAUAAGCAAAUGGUUAAGGUUAAUUCUAAAAUCUCUCUAAAUGUCAAGAUCCUUAGCCAAGUUAGCCUUCCAAAAUUCUCUACACUCAAGAUUCUUUCUCAAGGAAAGUUGCUGUUAUUGAUCAGCACAAUUCUCACAACUACAUGUAUGAUGUUUGUGCACAUUUGUUAUUUCAGCACUCAAAAAUGGUAAAAAAAAUGGUGUGCAGCUUUGGUUUCUCGGAAACAAUAAGUGAAUUUGCUUAAUUCACACUAAACUCUCAAUUGCCAAAGUGCCGAAUCUGUUGCUGUCACAUGGAAAUUCCACACCAGAAUUUGCAGCUUACGAGUGCACUGCUGUGCCGAAUUGCAUCCUUCCAAGUGAUCUUUUCCUUCACCAAUCCUCUUCCUAAAGUGCUACCAAUUAUGUCAAGCCGUCUACAACAAUGCUGUAACCACAAAUGAACUCACACCAAUCCACAUUCAUCAAGUUUGAGUGCAGAAAUUGAGACUUUUGCUGCUGCAAUGAUAACAGAACAGAACACACCACUGGAAAUAUAACAAACAGUUGGUGUGCAGAAGUCCAAACAAUCAAAAAUCAAGCAAUUAAUCAGUGUUCAAUGAUAGAUGGCACUCAAAAGGAACUUAGGAAAGGUUCUAGAGUAGAUUUGAAAAGCAAGAAACAAAGAUAAGUUGCAAUGAUAUCCAAUUCAACUCAAAUGNUUUUUAUGUCAAAAGUGUUCGACCAAUUGUCUCAAAGAAAGAAAACUGAUACUAUGCAUCCAGUAUAGUGUUAUGGUUUGGUACGNUUUCCAAUUGCUUUUCCAAUUCAGCAUACAAGUCUAUUUUGAUUUAUGCCUUCUGUUCUUUUCUUUUAAUGAAUGAAACCAUGCAUUUUGCUACCAAAAUUCAUACACAAUGGAUGCACACUUAAUCAGCACAAUGAACAUAAAUCUGCAACUUAUUCUCAACAGAACUUAGCUGACAAAAACGCAACUGAAUUGGCUAGAUUUAGCAGUUCAUGUUAAUUGGAAAAUUGAAAGCUUCCAGCAACUUUUAAUGAUCAAAUGUGACUUAUAUCAAUGAUCAAAUUAAACAGUUCACUCCUAAAUCAAAUUUUGACUAUAUGAGUUGUUAUUUCAAGCUAAAUCAUAACCAAGACAGAAUACAACUUUCAGCACAGGAUUCAAAAGUGUUUGGAUCAGUAAAUUGGCACUUGGAGCAAAUUUUAAUUGCCAAAUAUAUCAGUUUAAGACGAUUACUAGGCACUGCACUCGGUCAAUUCAAAUUUUCACCACACAGGUUGCUCAAUUCAACCAAAAAUGAUCCAUACACACAUGGAAAUUCAUCCUAAUGCUUCAAACAAAUAUGAAACACAAUUUUAUGAAUCCAAACAGCAAGCUAAUUUGAACACAAACUCUAUAGAAUUAUGAAGAAGUCCAGACAAGGAUACUAUAGCUGGACCGAUUAAAACAAAAAAUUACAAAGAUUCUCUGCAAAGAUGUAUGCAGCACGGUUCAAGCUGCUGUGUAAUAGAUUUGGAAUCUGCAGAGUAAUGCUCUCCACUAUAAUAUCUUAAUCAUAUUUUGUGGUAUGCAUUUUCCUCUUAUUGCAUCAUAUCCAACACUCACAAGCACACAAUCAUGAGAUUAAAACAGAAUAGCAUAAAAACACAAUUGAUUGUGCGAAUAACACUUUUCCACCUGAUGCAAACCAAAUUCAAAUUUGAAACAGUUAUACUUUGUCAACCUCUGGUACUGCUUUGUUAAGGAGAUUCAAGAUGCACUAAGCUUCUAUUGAAUUACUCCAAUCAACUAUGCAGAUUUAUCCACACACGGUUGAACUUGGAAAUUGAACAUAAUGGAAACAACAAUGAACAUGACUUAGAUAAACAGCAGUAGGAUUUAAAAAAAAAAAAAAAAAAAAAAAAAAAAAAAAAAAAAAAAAAAAAAAAAAAAAAAAAAAAAAAAACUCAAAUCUAUGAAAUGAACCGAUUAAAAUGCUAAGACCAAAUCAAAUCAAAGCUGGAUCAAACAAGUGACUCAAAGGAACCUACGGAAAUCAAACAAAGCAAUGGAACAGUGAAAUCACUACAGCACACGCAAGGAAUGUUGAUGACAGUACGGAUCAAGGCAAUGACACUUAUCUGGAUCGUGAUGCAAGCCGAACCUUGCUCUGAAUACCAAUUGAUGACGUUCCAGCUUGUAGGUGAAUGAAAUUUGAGCAGCGGAAGUUAACAUGAAGCAACAGUAGUGGAGGUGGAUGUAUAUGGAUGUCGGUGUUGGAUGAAGAUGCGGCAGCGGAAGAAUUCUCAAUGAAAAUAGUGACGGUGAAAAUGAACUGAUUCAAGGUGAUGCACGGAUGAAGAGCUCGGUGGUGAAUGAAACUAGUCAGACGGCUUCCAUAAUUGGAAGGAANNNN